CUAAGAAUCUUCCGCAAUGGACGAAAGUCUGACGGAGCGACGCCGCGUGAACGAUGAAGGCCGAAAGGUUGUAAAGUUCUUUUUGAACGGAGGAAUAAGUGUGGUAGGGAAUGACCGCAUGAUGACGUUAAGUUUGGAAUAAGCCCCGGCUAACUACGUGCCAGCAGCCGCGGUAAUACGUAGGGGGCGAGCGUUGUUCGGAAUUAUUGGGCGUAAAGGGUGUGCAGGCGGGUAAGCAAGUCUGAUGUUAAAUGGUUGUGCUUAACACAAUCAUGCGUUGGAAACUGUUUAUCUUGAAUACAAGAGGGGUAGAUAGAAUUCCUGGUGUAGGGGUGAAAUCUGUAGAUAUCAGGAAGAAUACCGAUAGCGAAGGCAGUCUACUGGCAAUGUAUUGACGCUGAGGCACGAAGGUGCGGGGAGCAAACAGGUUUAGAUACCCUGGUAGU
rnacentral:rRNA from 1 species